CUUAACACAUGCAAGUCGAGGGGCAGCGGUAUGUAGCAAUACAUAGCCGGCGACCGGCGCAAGGGUGCGUAACGCGUGAGCAACAUGCCCGUCACAGGAGGAUAAUCCAUGGAAACGUGGUCUAAUACUCCAUAGUAUCGGAGUGAGGCAUCUCAUUCUGAUUAAAGCUUCGGUGGUGACGGAUUGGCUCGCGUGACAUUAGCUAGAUGGAGAGGUAACGGCUCACCAUGGCUACGAUGUCUAGGGGAACUGAGAGGUUUAUCCCCCACACUGGUACUGAGACACGGACCAGACUCCUACGGGAGGCAGCAGUGAGGAAUAUUGGACAAUGGAUGGAAAUCUGAUCCAGCCAUGCCGCGUGCAGGACGACGGCCCUAUGGGUCUUAAACUGCUUUUGUAUGGGAGCAAUAAGUUCUACGAGUAGGAUGAUGAGAGUACCAUACGAAUAAGCAUCGGCUAACUCCGUG
rnacentral:rRNA from 1 species